UACGUAGGGGGCAAGCGUUGUCCGGAAUCAUUGGGCGUAAAGCGCGUGUAGGCGGUCCGGUAAGUCCGCUGUGAAAGUCGGGGGCUUAACCCUCGGAUGCCGGUGGAUACUGUCGGGCUAGAGUACGGAAGAGGCGAGUGGAAUUCCUGGUGUAGCGGUGAAAUGCGCAGAUAUCAGGAGGAACACCAAUUGCGAAGGCAGCUCGCUGGGACGUUACUGACGCUGAGACGCGAAAGCGUGGGGAGCAAACAGG
rnacentral:rRNA from 1 species